UACGUAGGGAGCAAGCGUUGUCCGGAGUCAUUGGGCGUAAAGCGCGCGUAGGCGGCCCUGUAAGUCCGUUGUGAAAGUCAAAGGCUCAACCUUUGAAAGCCGAUGGAUACUGCAGGGCUAGAGUCCGGAAGAGGCGAGUGGAAUUCCUGGUGUAGCGGUGGAAUGCGCAGAUAUCGGGAGGAACACCAGUGGCGAAGGCGGUUGCCUGGGGCUGUGCUGACGCUGAUGCGCGAAAGCGUGGGGAGCGAUCCGG
rnacentral:rRNA from 1 species